rnacentral:misc_RNA from 1 species
GAUGAAGAACGCAGUGAAAUGCGAUAAGUAAUGUGAAUUGCAGAAUUCAGUGAAUCAUCGAAUCUUUGAACGCACAUUGCGCCCGCCAGUAUUCUGGCGGGCAUGCCUGUCCGAGCGUCAUUUCAACCCUCAAGCCCCCGGGCUUGGUGUUGGAGAUCGGCGAGCCCCCCGGGGCGCGCCGUCUCCCAAAUAUAGUGGCGGUCCCGCUGUAGCUUCCUCUGCGUAGUAGCACACCUCGCACUGGGAAACAGCGUGGCCACGCCGUAAAACCCCCCACUUCUGAAAGGUUGACCUCGGAUCAGGUAGGAAUACCCGCUGAACUUAAGCAUAUCAAUAGCGGAGGA